rnacentral:rRNA from 1 species
AUGUACUCUGUCUCUGACAUGGACUACGUGCUCCAAAAUCCAGCAUUGUUCGUGCACCUUUAUGAGUAUGUAAUUGAGGAUAUUGAAAUGCAUGAGGCUGAGAAAAUGCUUUUCAAGAUGCGUCAGUUGAUCGAGCAGACGGGUGUGCUGGUUCAUGUCCAAAACAGACUUAAUCUUGAGCAACUGUGUGUACUGGUCCAUCAUAUCUCAGGGCUCACAGUAGACGUGGAGAAGCUUAAGGCUAUGUUUAAGCUAGAGAAAAUGGACAGAGAUUUAAUUGGUUCAGUUGAGGCUGUCAUUCCAGAGCUCCUUUUGCAAACUACUCGUCAGCCAGAGAAUGUUCAGAAUUCUACAGAAGCACUCUGUGAUGCUCUCAGUGUAUUUGUGGCUGCUACAACAGAUGACGUGCCAGCUCACCAGAUUGACGACACAGUUGCUCUAGAAUUGCCUCAACUAGUGCAUGGCGUUUCAGAACCUGCUGCUGACCAACCUCCCCAAGUUGACUAUUCUGUUUUCACUGAUCUUCUCAAUGCUGUAACUCAUAGAGUGGAUGCCUUGAUGACCCUAUGGAUUAAGUAUCCAUCCACCGCAACGCAAAUCAAUGUGGCAGAUGUAGUUGCUGCUCACAUGAUCGUUGUGGAUGACGAGGUGGAGGGCGGGGAAGACCUUGCCGAGGGUGUGAUACCGUCGGAGGUGGGUGCCGACAAUGACCAUCCUGAAGUGGAGGCUGCCAACGAUCCGCUGGAGGUGGAGGGCGGGGAAGACCUUGCCGAGGACGUGAUGCCGCUGGAGCUGGGUGCCAACAAUGAUCAGCCUGAAGUGGAGGCCGCCAACGAUCCGCUGGAGGAGGAUGACGAUGACGACGACGACGAUGAUGAUGAUGAUGAUGAUGAUGAUGAGGAGGAGGAGGAGGAGGAGAGGAGGAAGAGGAGGCGGAUAUUUCCUGCUUCAGACAAUGAGGAGUAUUCACAGUAUGACGAGGUGCUGGAAGAGGAUUUUGGAGCCUAUAACAUGUACUCUGUCUCUGACAUGGACUACGUGCUCCAAAAUCCAGCAUUGUUCACGCACCGUUAUGAGUAUGUAAUUGAGGCUAUUGAGAUGCAUGAGGCUGAGCAAAUGCUUUUCAAGAUGCGUCAGUUGAUCGAGCAGACGGGUGUGCUGGUUCAUGUCCAAAACAGACUUAAUCUUGAGCAACUAUGUGUACCGGUCCAUCAUAUCUCAGGGCUCACAGUAGACGUGGAGAAGCUUAAGGCUAUGUUUAAGCUUGAGAAAAUGGACAGAGAUUUAAUUGGUUCAGUUGAGGCUGUCAUUCCAGAGCUCCUUUUGCAAACUACUCGUCAGCCAGAGAAUGUUCAGAAUUCUACAGAAGCACUCUGUGAUGCUCUCGGUGUAUUUGUGGCUGCUACAACAGAUGACGUGCCAGCUCACCAGAUUGACGACACAGUUGCUCUAGAAUUGCCUCAACCAGUGCAUGGCGUCUUGAAUUCAGAACCUGUUGCUGACCAACCUCCCCAAGUUGACUAUUUGUUUUCACUGAUCUUCUCAAUGCUGUAA